rnacentral:rRNA from 1 species
GACGAACGCUGGCGGCGUGCCUAAUACAUGCAAGUCGAGCGAAUCUGAGGGAGCUUGCUCCCAAAGAUUAGCGGCGGACGGGUGAGUAACACGUGGGUAACCUGCCUGUAAGAUUGGGAUAACUCCGGGAAACCGGAGCUAAUACCGGAUAAAAAUUUGAACCGCAUGGUUCAAAUUUGAAAGACGGCUUUUGCUGUCACUUACAGAUGGACCCGCGGCGCAUUAGCUAGUUGGUGAGGUAACGGCUCACCAAGGCAACGAUGCGUAGCCGACCUGAGAGGGUGAUCGGCCACACUGGGACUGAGACACGGCCCAGACUCCUACGGGAGGCAGCAGUAGGGAAUCUUCCGCAAUGGACGAAAGUCUGACGGAGCAACGCCGCGUGAACGAUGAAGGCCUUCGGGUCGUAAAGUUCUGUUGUUAGGGAAGAAACAAGUACUAGAGUAAACUGCUAGUA